UGUAACGUCCCUUUCUAUUGGUGGAAAUUUUUCUAGAGAAUAGUAACUGCCAAUCACAGUUGGUGUUGGUUAGGUCUAUUUAGUAUGGACGAUCUCACAGCUGUCCACCUCAAGACGAGAAAAGCGUAGUGGACUCACUCAGCGUCUGUCGACUGUCAUUAGCAGUACUAAAUGUAGUCUGUUCAGAACUUUGUAUUAAUCAUGGCUGCCAUGCCAGCUUUAGGCUUUUUUUUAGUAUUUGGCUCUGGAACCUUUUGUUCCAGCAGCAUUUUUAGUCUUUUGCCUCUGUAGUCGCUUUAAUUGAGAAGAGAGAGAGAGAGUAUCAAAUUGUCACCUCACAAUGGAGAUUUUUCUCCUAUAACCGCUACUAAAGCGGUGUAAGUACGGGAACAUCAAGUAUGGGAUCAACGUACGAAUCCAUCAUUUCAUGGGUUCAUGAGCGUGUGUCUUUAAGCCGCUGAGACGCCUCUGAAUCGAUGGCCGUCCUAGCUUGGGGUAUGCUGUCUCCUGUCCAUCUGGACGUGUAGAGCUCGAUCACCGAGCCUAGAUUCAAUUUGAAGAAACAGCUAUGAGUGUUGCAUCAAAGACCACCAAGUCUUGUGAAUGGCGAUUUUGCGUUUGAUUGAGCUGAUAGACGAUGGCUGCAGUGUUGAGUCUUGAUGUUGUCCGUGAUGCUGAUCUUCAAUAGCGGGUCUGGUGAGCCAACAUACUGUAAGGUUGGUGCCGAGACAAACAUUGUCUAUCCUUUAUUAUAUUGUUUGAGAUGUUCGUCUAUCAAAAUUUAGUUAUCUGAUUAGUACUGGAAUUUCAGUUGUUUGAUAAUAUUUCAUUGUUAGGGUCAGUAAUGUGCUAUAAAAAUAUAGGGUGUAUUUUGUGGUCUGGCAUUGUGAAGAGAGUUGUCAGACGUGAUAGGGUUUGUUAACGUUUCCUUUAGGCUGUGGUAAUUUUUUUUUGAGCUUAGAUAGGUAGAUGUGAGAAAUCUUAUCUGUUGAAGUUGUAGUUUUGUUUGAUGAAUUAAGUAUCUGGAGUGAGUGUCGCCAGUUGUAAGGGGCACUACUCAGAUGAGGUCCAUAUGACAAAUCAAGGUUAAUAGCUGGGACUAUCCUUGUUGUAUUUGUGGAAUGGAAGAUAGAAUUUUAGCAAAAGGUACUCAGAGUAGUAUGAGCUAAAAUUGGGUUAUUCUGUUGAAUGGUGUGGUUCCUUUCUGAAGAUUUAUGGGGGUCUGAAGAAAAUAGAUGGAAUGCUAACCAAGAUCAGGAUUUUUUUUUGAAAUUUUAGGGUAAGCCUCAGUUGAAAGGUUCGUUAGAUUGAUAGCUGGGAAUGGCCACAAUACACUGUCAAAAUUUAUUUUCAAUUUCUGGGGAUAAAUUUUUUUUCUAAAUAAUGUGGGUAGUGAAAAUCAAAAAUUUAAUUUAAUAGGGAAAGUUAAAUUGUUAAUAAAUAAGUCAAUUUGAAUCAAAAUUAAGUAUAAUGAAUGAGAGAAAAUUUAGAAAGUUUAUAGAGUUCGAAUUUGGAUUUUAUAAUAAUAAAUAUUAUACUGCUAUAGUUAAUUUGGUGAUGCAGACAGUGGAAAGUAAUUUAUUUCA
rnacentral:lncRNA from 1 species